UACGUAGGUGGCAAACGUUGCUCGGAAUUAUUGGGCGUAAAGCGCGCGUAGGCGGUUACUUAAGUCGGAUGUGAAAGCCCUCGGCUUAACUGAGGAAGUGCACCCGAAACUGAGUAGCUAGAGUACGAAAGAGGGUCGCGGAAUUCCCGGUGUAGAGGUGAAAAUUCGUAGAUAUCGGGAGGAACACCGGUGGCGAAGGCGGCGACCUGGGUCGAGACUGACGCUGAGGCGCGAAAGCGUGGGGAGCAAACAGG
rnacentral:rRNA from 1 species